UGAGGAAUAUUGGGCAAUGCCCGCAAGGGUGACCCAGCAACGCCGCGUGGAGGAUGAAUGUCGUAAGAUUGUAAACUCCUGUUAGAGGGGAAGAAUAGUACCGGUUGGACCGGUAUAUGACUGUACCCUCAGAGAAAGCCCCGGCUAACUACGUGCCAGCAGCCGCGGUAAUACGUAGGGGGCAAGCGUUGUCCGGAUUUACUGGGUGUAAAGGGCACGCAGGCGGGAUAAAAAGUCAGUGGUGAAAUCCUACAGCUUAGCUGUAGAACUGCCUUUGAUACUUUUAUUCUUGAGUUCGGGAGAGAGAGACGGAAUUCCAGGUGUAGUGGUGAAAUACGUAGAUAUCUGGAAGAACACCAGUUGCGAAGGCGGUCUCUUGGUCCGACACUGACGCUGAGGCGCGAAAGCGU
rnacentral:rRNA from 1 species